rnacentral:rRNA from 1 species
GACGAACGCUGGCGGCGUGCUUAACACAUGCAAGUCGAACGGAAAGGCCCUGCUUGCAGGGUGCUCGAGUGGCGAACGGGUGAGUAACACGUGGGUGAUCAGCCCCUUACUUUGGGAUAAGCCUGGGAAACUGGGUCGAAUACUGGAUAGGACCAUGCUGUAGGUGGUGUGGUGGAAAGAUUAGUUUCGGUAAGGGAUGAGCUCGCGGCCGAUCAGCGUCUUGGUGGGGUAAUGGCCGAUGAAGGCGUUGACGGGUAGCCGGCCUGAGAGGGUGUACGGCCCCAUUGGGACUGCGACACGGGGCAGCCGUCUACGGGCGGCCGCAGUGGGGAAAAGUGUAAAAUGGCAGCAAGCCGGAAGCAGCGACGCCGCGUGGGUCAUGACGGUCUUCGGGUUGUAAACUCCUUUCGGCCAUGACGAAGCCCUUGUGGUGACGGUAGUGGUAGAAGAAGCCCCGGCUAACUACGUG